rnacentral:ncRNA from 2 species
UAAUGGUCAUGCCGCGACGGUCGUCCGAGAGGACGCGAAAAAGGGAACGCGGUGCGAGGCGCAAACCUCUAAAUCCGCGGCUGUGCCCGCAACUGUAAGCGGCGAGCGCUCCCGCCACUCAAGCCACUGGACCCGAAACGUGGGCCCGGGAAGGCGGCGGAAGCGCGAUUGAGCCGUGAAGCCAGGAGACCUGCCGCCGCACGUCGCUCGUU